UGGGGAAUCUUGCGCAAUGGCCGAAAGGCUGACGCAGCGACGCCGCGUGGGGGAGGAAGGCCUUCGGGUUGUAAACCCCUGUUGCCCGGGACGAAUGCGCUUUUUUGAGAGCGUUGACGGUACCGGGUGAGGAAGCACCGGCUAACUCCGUGCCAGCAGCCGCGGUAAUACGGAGGGUGCAAGCGUUGUCCGGAAUCACUGGGCGUAAAGGGCGCGUAGGCGGCUCAUGAAGGCUGUGGUGAAAGUCCGGGGCUCAACCUCGGAUCGGCCGUGGCGACUCGUGGGCUGGAGCACUGUAGAGGCGGGUGGAAUUCCGGGUGUAGCGGUGGAAUGCGUAGAGAUCCGGAAGAACACCAGUGGCGAAGGCGGCCCGCUGGGCAGUGGCUGACGCUGAAGCGCGACAGCGUGGGGAGCAAACA
rnacentral:rRNA from 1 species